rnacentral:rRNA from 1 species
AUAUGCUUGUUUCAAAGAUUAACCCAUGCAUGUCUGAGCAUGAGCCGAAUAUGGUUAAGCCGCGAAUGGCUCAUUACAACAGCUUUUAGUUUUUUGGAUUUUAUAGUCCUACUUGGAUACCUGGUGGUAUUUCUAGAGUUAAUACGCGCAAUCAAGCCCCAACCUUACGGGCGGGGCGCAUUUAUUAGGUCAAAACCCAUUGGUGAAAGCCAUUAUUGGUGAAUCUGAAUAACUACGCUGAUCGCAUGGUCUCGUACCGGCGACGUAUCUUUCAAGUGUCUGCCUUAUCAACUUUCGUUGGUAGUUUAUAUGACUGCCAUGGUUGUAACGGGUAACGGAGAAUAAGGGUUCGACUCCGGAGAGGGAGCCUGAGAAACGGCUACCACAUCCGAGGAAGGCAGCAGGCGCGCAAAUUACCCACUCUCAGUAAAGAGGAGGUAGUGACGAAAAAUAACGAGACAGUUCUCUAUGAGGUCUGUCAUCGGAAUGGGUACAAUUUAAACCCUUUAAC